rnacentral:rRNA from 1 species
GACGAACGCUGGCGGCGUGCUUAACACAUGCAAGUCGAACGAAGAGCGAUGGAAGCUUGCUUCUAUCAAUCUUAGUGGCGAGCGGGUGAGUAACGCGUAAUCAACCUGCCCUUCAGAGGGGGACAACAGUUGGAAACGACUGCUAAUACCGCAUACGAUCUAAACUCGGCAUCGAGGAUAGAUGAAAGGUGGCCUCUACAUGUAAGCUAUCACUGAAGGAGGGGAUUGCGUCUGAUUAGCUAGUUGGAGGGGUAACGGCCCACCAAGGCGAUGAUCAGUAGCCGGUCUGAGAGGAUGAACGGCCACAUUGGGACUGAGACACGGCCCAGACUCCUACGGGAGGCAGCAGUGGGGAAUCUUCCGCAAUGGACGAAAGUCUGACGGAGCAACGCCGCGUGAGUGAUGACGGCCUUCGGGUUGUAGAGCUCUGUUAAUCGGGACGAAAGGCCUUCUUGCGAAUAGUGAGAAGGAUUGACGGUACCGGAAUAGAAAGCCACGGCUAACUACGUG